UUCAAUAUUGUUCCACCAAACUUUGACGAUCAUUUCUUUUGUCGAAAAAAACACAUUUUAUUAUGUGGCAAUUUUCAGGGAAAUGCGUUAUUUAGGAGAUAGGUGACUAAUAAGAAAGGUAGCACUAAUGAGUUUGGAUAUUGCAUAACUGAAGGCAAAGGCGUUUCAGUAGUAUUAAGUAAAAAUGACAUUUGAUAGACUAGCGGCCAUUCCUAUUUAUCCUGUAAUAAUGUUGUAUCCUAUCGGUCAAUGAGCAUAUAUUACAGUGUACUUGUCUUUUCUUGGCACAAAUGUAGCAAGAAACAGCGCUGUUGGCAGUGCUGCAUUAACGUCUCAAAGUACCAUACGUAGCUCUAGCCAGCUGUCCGAACACAUGAACAUCUGCCUUACCCUGGUCCACGUAUGUAGUUAUUCUGAUCGCUUUGUACACCUUGGACAUGGGGUCAGUAUCAUACGUUUGGGAAUUUCUUACGUAUGGUAUGUUGGUGUAAUCAUACAUUUUAUAAUGCAACUCUUCUUCAUCAGUAGCAGCUGAAAAGACUCAGUGUCUCAUUGAGAGUAGCAACUGAAGUUUCAUCGACGAGGUUUGUUUAGGUUUCGAAGCUUCAGUUAAUUUGACUCCAAGCAGUACUGAAAUCGUGGGUGGUAUGCAGCCCUGAUGUCAAUCCAUCCUCUGGCCCCCGUUCAGAUGGCGGAGCCGGUGACAACGGUUUUCGACUGAUUACCAGGAAACCCUUCACUGUUGGUCACCAUAUUUGUUCCCCCUGUCAGUGCUAGUAUUAAGAAUGGAGCAAUACACCUUCGAAGAACAGGCAGAUAUGCAUAUGACGUAUGGUGCAGCACGUGGGAAUGGUAGAGCAGCACAGCGGUUGUAUGCAGCACAGUUCCCAUUCCGACGUCACCCACAUUAUUCAACAUUUGCUGCCAUUCACAGACGACUUAGGGAUUCUGGAAGAUUCCGCCCCACCAGGUCCGACGUAGGUAGACCUCGGCAUACUCGUACAGCACGUAAUGAGGAGGAGGUGUUGGAGGCUGUUGCUACUAAUCCUCGGACUAGCACUCGUGCAGUUGCGUAUGAGGUAGGGAUUAGUCAGGCAUCAGUGUGGCGAACGGUACAUGAGCAGCUACUUCAUCCGUACCAUAUUCAGAGGGUGCAGGCAUUAACUCCAGCCGAUUUUCAAAGACGUAGAGAGUUCAGUCAGUGGUACAUAAAUCAAACCUCAGACGAUGGUGCAUUUAGUAGUUUAGUAUUGUUCACUGAUGAAACAACUUUCACUAGGACAGGAAUGUUUAAUACACAUAAUAUGCAUUAUUGGGAUGAGGA